CUACGGGUUGCAGCAGUGGGGAAUAUUGGACAAUGGGGGAAACCCUGAUCCAGCAAUGCCGCGUGUGUGAAGAAGGCCUGCGGGUUGUAAAGCACUUUCGAUUGGGAGGACUGCUUCUAGCACUAAUAUUGUUGGAAGUUGACGUUACCUUCAGAAGAAGCACCGGCUAACUCCGUGCCAGCAGCCGCGGUAAUACGGAGGGCGCAUGCGUUAAUCGGAAUUACUGGGCGUAAGGCGCGCGUAGGCGGCUAGAUCAGUCGGGUGUGAAAGCCCCGGGCUUAACCUGGGAACUGCAUCCGAUACUGUCUAGCUUGAGUACAGGAGAGGAGAGUGGAAUUCCACAUGUAGCGGUGAAAUGCGUAGAUAUGUGGAGGAACACCAAUGGCGAAGGCAGCUCUCUGGCCUGAUACUGACGCUGAGGUGCGAAAGCGUGGGGAGCAAACAGGAUUAGAUACCCGCGUAGUC
rnacentral:rRNA from 1 species